GCUGACGAGUGGCGGACGGGUGAGUAAUGUCUGGGAAACUGCCUGAUGGAGGGGGAUAACUACUGGAAACGGUGGCUAAUACCGCAUAACGUCGCAAGACCAAAGAGGGGGACCUUCGGGCCUCUUGCCAUCAGAUGUGCCCAGAUGGGAUUAGCUUGUUGGUGAGGUAACGGCUCACCAAGGCGACGAUCCCUAGCUGGUCUGAGAGGAUGACCAGCCACACUGGAACUGAGACACGGUCCAGACUCCUACGGGAGGCAGCAGUGGGGAAUAUUGCACAAUGG
rnacentral:rRNA from 1 species